AGCAGCCGCGGUAAUUCCAGCUCCAAUAGCGUAUAUUAAAGUUGUUGCAGUUAAAAAGCUCGUAGUUGAAUUUCGGGGUUUAUCCGUUGGUCGGGCUUUUUGGUCUGUACUGGCGUGAUGGAUUCCUACCUUCUGAAUAACCGGCAUGCCAUUAAUUUGGUGCGCCGGGGAAGCAGGACUGUUACCUUGAAAAAAUUAGAGUGCUUAAAGCAGGCUUAUGCCUGAAUACAUUAGCAUGGAAUAAUGAAAUAGGACGGCAUGGUUCUAUUUUGUUGGUUUCUAGGAUCGACGUAAUGAUUAAUAGGGAUAGUUGGGGGCAUUAGUAUUCAAUUGUCAGAGGUGAGAUUCUUGGAUUUAUUGAAGACUAACUACUGCGAAAGCAUUUGCCAAGGAUGUUUUCAUUAAUCAAGAACGAAAGUUAGGGGAUCGAAGACGAUCAGAUACCGUCGUAGUCUUAACCAUAAACUAUGCCGACUAGGGAUCGGAUGAUGUUAAUUUUUUAAUGACUCAUUCGGCGCCU
rnacentral:rRNA from 1 species